rnacentral:rRNA from 1 species
CCUACGGGAGGCAGCAGUGAGGAAUAUUGGUCAAUGGGCGAGAGCCUGAACCAGCCAAGUCGCGUGAGGGAGUACUGCCCUAUGGGUUGUAAACCUCUUUUGUCGGGGAGCAAAAGCCGGACGAGUCCGGCUGUGAGAGUACCCGAAGAAAAAGCAUUGGCUAACCCCGUGCCAGCAGCCGCGGUAAUACGGAGGAUGCGAGCGUUAUCCGGAUUUAUUGGGUUUAAAGGGUGCGCAGGCGGAUUUUUAAGUCAGCGGUAAAAUCGUGGGGCUCAACCCCAUCCAGCCGUUGAAACUGGGGAUCUAGAGUGUGCGAGAGGUAUGCGGAAUGCGUGGUGUAGCGGUGAAAUGCAUAGAUAUCACGCAGAACCCCGAUUGCGAAGGCAGCAUACCGGUGCACAACUGACGCUCAGGCACGAAAGCGUGGGUAUCGAACAGGAUUAGAUACCCUGGUAGUC